CGCAGUAACUAACCUCUAUGUGCAAUUUGCUUUAAGAUAUUAUUGUUUAUUGUGAUAAUAUACAUUGCAUUGAAACUAUGAGAUACUGGUAAGUACACGCAGUAACUGAUUCUUGCAUGCAUCUCCAAUAUAUUUUCCUUGCGUGAUAAUAUUAUACGAGCUAGGUUGAAUAUGAUUUGCUAUUUAAAUACUGUUAAGUUGUGUUACAAGUGAAAAUCAGUUGUAAAGAUGGUAGAGAUUGAGUUCGGAUAUCGCAAGAGUAGAAUGUUGGAUUAUAUGAGAUGGAAUGGGAAUGAGUCCCUUAUUGAUGAGAUAUUAAGUUGGAUAUUACUGUGACUCCACUGGAUUGGUACCCCAGUUGGUUUAGUUCCCGGAGGCAUGGAUCAUCUAUAUAUGGUCGCUGUACGGGGGUAUGAUCAUACUUUGCCAUUGGGCGCCGGCAUGGCCGUCACCGUCCUUGGCUGAGGUGUUGCCAUGUGGGUCUUGCAAACCCCAAUAUGGUGGCCUCUAGUCACAAAAGAAGAUACGUGGAAUUAAGGAAGGAAUAGAAAAUGGUGAAGGCAUUGAGAAGUGCACAGAAAUGAGGAAUGGUUGGAGUAGAUUUUUAUACAUUGGAGUGUCCUUCUUCCCUCGUUUGUUGAAUUGAUUGUUGGUUGCAUAUAUAUAACUUGUUGCUGGAUACUGACGUGUACGUGUUUGUGUUUAUGUUUAAUUGUUGAUGACUUUCUAUGAUUGUCCUGCUAUGACGCAUUGGCCUUUGGUCUAAUGUCGAGCAGCAGGAGGAUUAUAGACUGGCUUAGCAGGUACUGGAGCUUCUUAUGUAUUGCAUUGCAUUUGGGAAGAGUGAUGAGCGCGAAGCAUAACUUGUGUCAUUACCCCUAUCUUUCGAUUUUGUAUCUCUUGUUAUCCUUUGUAAAUUUUGAUUGUAUAUGUUUUGUUAUGAGGCCUUGUGCCCUCCCACGUGCAUUUGUAUUUCCGCUGCGUAGUUUAUAACUCUGUAUGGUUUUGAGGAGUUAAGUCUUUUUAAAACGCAAACGUCGACACUGGAACCACGAUCCAUGCUUGGCAUGUUGAUUUGAGAAGCCGGCGACGAAUUAUUCCGCCGUGACAUAGCUUUGAUAGGCCAUUGGUGCCUUUACUUUAUUAGUUUUUGAAUUAACUUUUGUUUUCUACAAAGACGCACAAUUUUAAGGCAGAUGCUGCCAAAAUUUCCACUCACCUUUUUAAAGAUAAUAAUUAAAGUUUAUAUAGAUUCUUUUCCUUUUUCUUUUAUGUAACACCCGAAUUUCCUCCCGUCCUUUACGGUUUUGGUUUCGUUAAGGGGUCGGAAAUUCUGGGGUGUUACAGGUGGUAUCAGAGCCAGUGGUCCCUAUUUUCGACGUUUUGUGUCUUCCAAUUUGUUGAGAAAUUUCUUGAAGUUAUAAGUUAUUCGUGAGAUUUGGGUAGACAUGGGAUAGGUGCAUAUAUUACAUAAUGCAUAAUGAUUGCCAUUGCACGUGCAUAGAUCAAUAUAUAGUUUGUUUAGCUUGUUAUGAGAUUCAUUCUCAUGUGUGUUAUUAUAAAUAAUAAUUAUAAUGUUGGUUGAAUGAUGACAUGAUUUAACAAAUCAGUAGAAUUGAAUGAUGUAUUAUCAAGAAAUAAUGAAAUUUUUGAGUAUUUGUUUCAACUCAUGAGUUGUAUUAUAAGUAAUCAUUAUGAAGAUAUGACGUAUGAAUGACAAAAUUCUAGAGAAGUUGGUUGCAUCGGGAACUUUCUCUUGCUUGUGAUGAUUAUAUGAAGUUUAGUCUUAUGUGUCUUGAACAUUUGUUCAUGUUAAUUGUUUUCAUAAAGCUUACGAGUUUCGAUAUUGAUUCUAUACAUGAACCCACUGUUUAUUUAUCUGCUUGAGCAUCCCCUUUGUCAAGUGCAUUCGUUCAUCAUAACAUAGAAGUGGUGAUUAUAAUUCUCUUGAAUAUGUUUAAUGACCGUGCAAGUAUGAUCGUAAGUAGUUUGAACUAAAAUAAGGAUAAGAGCUAAAGUGUAAUAAGAAUUCGAUAUACAGUGAAUGAAAGAAAGGGGGUCUGUAUGUGAUACCUUGUAAAUAAAGUUUUAUUCACCAGUUGAUGAUGAUAAUGCGGUCAUAGUUAAAGUAUAGAUGCGUUAAAACCUAAAUAUUAAGGAGAAUUUUAAGAGCAUGUUAAGAGUCUAUAGUUUGAGAAUUCUACCCCCAAUUUCGAACCAUGAUCUAUAAGAGUAUUAUUGAUAUAUUCUUCAUAUAGUGAUGAGUUGAAUUUGCGAGAUUGUUUUCAACGUCUCUAAGUGUUUAAAGAUGAUGCUAUAUCAGCUGAACUAAAUUAUCACAUUAGUAUUGUUGUUCAAACUAGAAUUGCCUUAAUAUUUUCAUUUGAAGUUAUAAUUCUUACUAGGUUGAGGCUCUUGACCCGUGUAAUUAGCUAUAGCAACGUUGGUGUUGAGUUUUAGUGUGGUAUAAUCGUGUCUACCAUUAAACGUUUUCACUCUGAUGCGGUGAUUGAUACUGAUGCCUUAAAUUGGUUAAUGUAAUAUAUAUUUGUUAGUUCUAAACCUAACAUCUUAUGCUUGUAGUGAGACCUUGAGAAUCAAUUGAGAGUGGAAACGAUAGUCACAUAUUAACCUUAGUAAUCACUUUAUAUAUAUACUUUGAUGAAUUAUAGACUAUAAGGGUCCCUUGUCAUUGAUUUUGAUUUUUAUAAGCAUCCAACUCUCAUCAUAAUGAAUAUAAUAUUUCAUGUUUGUCGAGUGAUAAUGACCUUUCAAUCACUAUUUGCUUAAAAAAAAAAAAAAAAAAAAAAAAAAAAAAAAGUUGAAGUGGCUCUUUGGAUAAAAUAUGGGUGAUUUUGAGUUUGAGUAUCAGAGGAGAAAAUUUUCAUUCGCAAGUCCUUUGAGUUUGGUAUUUCGUUGAGACAUGGUAUAUCAUUCAUACAUAAGUCGGCAACUUUAUAUUAAAAAGGAUUGCUAAAGAAUAAUCAUCAUAAACAAAUUUGCACGUUAGGGGCCUAAGGAUUGACUCGAGGGAGCACUAUGGAGUUAAAAUUGAUAAUUUUGUCUUAUUAAAUGCUUAUAUGGAGUGAUGAAUGUUUUAAUCGGAUCAUAAUGUGAAGAAGAAUCGUGACGGUUUUUAAACGUUAGCUAGAUAGAAUGAUUUUUGAAAUUAAAAGGGAAUCAAUGAUAUUAUAAUUUGUUUUCCUCAUGGCCUUCUGGGCAGUUACAGCACAUAAGGAUAAAAUAACCUGAUGAUGAGGUGGAAUAAGCGUCUUUGUGCGUGUAAGAUACAGUUAAAUGUUUUAAUUCUUUUUGAGUAUCUCUUUGAUCACCAAUUUAAUAGGCAGUGUAUUGAAAUGAUAAGACCUAGAUGAGAUUCUAAAUGAAACUGACUUUAUGCAAGUUAUUGUUUUAAUAAUGAUUGAUGUGAUAAGUUGGAGAGUUACUAAAGAUAGUGUAGUCCUAAUAAAAGUCAAGAGGUGUUUUAAACCUAAACAUUGAAGAAACGACAAUGAGUAUGCGAAUAAUUACAAUUGAGAGAUGAAUCGAGAUAAUGGAUUAUGUCUUAAACGAUUAUUAUACACAAUCGUUAUUAUGCGAUAAAGAGAGUUAAACAAUAUUCGCACUUGUGUUAAGAAGAGUUUUAAUUUGAUGGUACUAGAUCAUUGGAUCGUAAUAAACAUUUGAUGAAAAGAGUCUUGAAAAUUUGACGUGUUUUAAUACAAACGAUUAUGUUAUAGUUGUUAGUUCUAAGUUUCGCAUUUUACGUUGAAGGGUGAUCGAAUUCCACUUGUUUGCGAAGGAAUAAUUGUGAUGCAAAAUUUCAAAUGUUGCGUAAUUUGGUUGGAUUGUGUCGUUGUAUUUCAGUAUAGUGUUAGGAUUAAUAAUGUACCAGUCAUAUGGUUGCGAUAAUGGUCUUAUAGUUAGAGGAAGUAUUGUGAUGAAAAUGUUAUGAUGUAGAUUGGAUAUUAUGAAAUUAGUGUUGGUAUCGCAACUUUAUCAAAUUGUGUGAUACAUGACUGCUUUGCUAUUAAUAUUGGAAAUUGCGGUGAUAUAGGUGUAUUCAUCAGUUAUUUUUCACCUUGUAUUUUUUUUAUAUACAUAAAAUGUCAUCUUUGUUGAUCAUCACUAUUAUUAUUAGUUUAUUACCCUAUUAGUACCAUUAGUAUUGUCGUUAUAAAUGGACAUGAUGCAUUACUUUAACCAUAUAUUAGCUCGUGAUCUUAAUUGAUAUAAAUUAUAUACUUUCAACAUAUCUAGUCGUAGGGUAAAUGAAUAGCUGACAAGUGUUGGUGACCUUUGACAUUGCCCUUCAUGAUUCUAAAUCAUCCUCAUAUUGACGUAAUUAAAAAAAAAAAAAAAAAAAUUUGAUAUUAUGAUGGAUAAAGAAUGUUAUUAUUGAAUAAUUACGAUAUGUGUAUUAGUAUCAUGACUGUGAACAUAUAAUUAUUUACUAUAGUAACUUGCUAAAACGUGUUAUAUAUAAUUUGAUUAUAUACUUGAAACAUGUAUUAUGUUUUGUGUUAUUAAUUUGAGUUGUUAAUCUAUUAAUCAAGUUAUGAUGUAUGAUUCAAAAUGUUAUAAAAUGAUUUGAUCAUAUAUGAUUAAUGAAAGGAGCAAUUUCGUGCACUUUACUUUUAGGACUUUGUUGUUUUGAUAUUUUACCCCCAUUCAUGGUUCAAAUUAUAAUAGCUAAACUUUUCGUACAUUACAAGAUUAUCACAAAGUACGACCUUAGGCGGUCACAUAGAAGUGGAAAGGUUGUUUGAAGAAUAACAUUAGAUAACAGGACAUUUCGUGUUGUUACAAGUUCAAGUGAUACAUUUUUUUUUUUUUUUUUAAAAGCCACAUCUGCUAGAUCUGUUAUUUUUGUAAACAUUGAGAAGAGUUGUCUUACUAAGAGAACAUAUUGAGACCCAGAUACUAGGGUAUGUAGUACUGAGAUCGAAGAGAUGAAAUAAUUAUAGUUCCAUGGUCUAACCACACUAUCCUUGCAUAUGUUUUGAGGUUAGUGAGUUACGUGGUCGUAACUAAGUUUUAAGGGGGGUAGAAUGCGGUAAAAUUUCGCGCAUUUAGACGCAUUUCUCUUGCGUUUUCACGCAUUUUUGUCUCUAUGAUAACAACCUAUUACAAACUUACAUGCUUUCGGUUCAUUGUUUGAACCUAUCUAUGUGAUAUCUACGUGCUUUGAUUGAUUGUGUAAAUCAAUUGGUGUGAUAUUUGCAUGCUUUGGUUGACCGUGUUGAGUCAAUUGUAUGAUUUUACAUGCUUUUGAUUGAUUGUGUUAAGUCAAUUGUGUGAUAUAUACAUGUUUUGAUUGGGUGUUGAGUUAAUUUAAAUGAUUAUGAAUGCUCGAAAUGAAAUAUGUAUGAACUUUUGAAUAGAGUGAGUGUAAUAGUGUCAAUAAGGUCACGAUCCUUGAGUUAAUUAUGGAGCUUAAAAUCGUUAAAACACCUUCAUGAGAUAUUAGAAAUAGAAUUUUCAUUAAUUGUACUCUUGUUAAACUAGUUUCGGGGACGAAACUCCUUUUAAGGGGGGUAGUCUGUAACACCCCGAGUUUUUCUGACGUCAUUAAUUAAUAUUUUAGUAACUUUUGGGGAUUUUAUAAUUAUAUUAAAUUAUUUCUGAAUUAAUAAAUUUCUUCAUAUAUAAAUUUAAAUGUGAACUUAUAUACAUAUAUUAAAAAUAUAAUUACGAUUUCUCAAAUAAAGAGGUUCGAAUUAAAAUGAUUAUUUUAUUAAAAUGUGUGAACCCACGAAGGUGAGUCUAAUAGUUGGGUCUCGCAAGAAAAUAAACCAAAAUAAAUAAAUAAAUAAAUAAAUAAACAUAAUACUAAUAAUAGCAACAACGAGUAUAAAAAGCCCGCGAAACCCUAAACACUCGAGAAGAGCCGCCAUUCCUUCUCUUCAUUCUCCUCCUUUCUUGCUCACUCCUCACGUUCCAUUCCCUCCCCACACCACAGCAGCUGCCGGCACAAUCAGCCACCCGCCGUGCUCCUUGCUCCACCAGCACGGCAACCACCCUCUACCCACGCACGAAGGUAACAACCAGCAGCAGGGGUUGCGAUUUUUCCCCCCAAACAGCAGCUGCUCAGCAUAUAGCGCCAGCCUGCUGUCCUAACACCACCACUUGUUGUGCGUCUGCUGCAGCCACGACCUCCAGCAGCUCCUCCCCUACUGCCGUGAAGGCUGCCACCACCACCAGCCACGGUCCAAUUGUGUGGCGUCCUUCACAACCAUCUAGUCUUCACUCCUUUUCUAGUUCCCCUUGUGCUCAUUUCGUAAGAGGAAAGUAGAGCCUUAGUUGGGUGAUUUUGUGACUUUUGAUUGUGCAGUAACGCUUACAGCAGGAGGAUUAUAGACUGGCUUAGCAGGUACUGGAGCUUCUUAUGUAUUGCAUUGCAUUUGGGAAGAGUGAUGAGCGCGAAGCAUAACUUGUGUCAUUACCCCUAUCUUUCGAUUUUGUAUCUCUUGUUAUCCUUUGUAAAUUUUGAUUGUAUAUGUUUUGUUAUGAGGCCUUGUGCCCUCCCACGUGCAUUUGUAUUUCCGCUGCGUAGUUUAUAACUCUGUAUGGUUUUGAGGAGUUAAGUCUUUUUAAAACGCAAACGUCGACACUGGAACCACGAUCCAUGCUUGGCAUGUUGAUUUGAGAAGCCGGCGACGAAUUAUUCCGCCGUGACAUAGCUUUGAUAGGCCAUUGGUGCCUUUACUUUAUUAGUUUUUGAAUUAACUUUUGUUUUCUACAAAGACGCACAAUUUUAAGGCAGAUGCUGCCAAAAUUUCCACUCACCUUUUUAAAGAUAAUAAUUAAAGUUUAUAUAGAUUCUUUUCCUUUUUCUUUUAUGUAACACCCGAAUUUCC